UACGGGGGGGGCAAGCGUUGUUCGGAAUUACUGGGCGUAAAGGGCUCGUAGGUGGCCAACUAAGUCAGACGUGAAAUCCCUCGGCUUAACCGGGGAACUGCAUCUGAUACUGGAUGGCUUGAGUUCGGGAGAGGGAUGUGGAAUUCCAGGUGUAGCGGUGAAAUGCGUAGAUAUCUGGAGGAACACCGGUGGCGAAGGCAGCUCGCUGGGACGGUACUGACGCUGAGGCGCGAAAGCUAGGGGAGCAAACGGG
rnacentral:rRNA from 1 species